rnacentral:rRNA from 1 species
UACAGAGGAUGCAAGCGUUAUCCGGAAUGAUUGGGCGUAAAGCGUCCGCAGGUGGCAGUUCAAGUCUGCUGUCAAAGACCGGGGCUUAACUUCGGAAAGGCAGUGGAAACUGAACAGCUAGAGUAUGGUAGGGGCAGAGGGAAUUCCUGGUGUAGCGGUGAAAUGCGUAGAGAUCAGGAAGAACAUCGGUGGCGAAGGCGCUCUGCUGGACCAUAACUGACACUCAGGGACGAAAGCUAGGGGAGCGAAUGGG